ensembl:lncRNA
CUCACACUAACUCCUAUAGGUUUUGUUCUGUGUGCUUGGAGAAAUUUGGCUGAGACACAUGCAGGUAAGCUCUGGUUCUUCGAGCAGCUUGGAGCAGAGUUGCUUCUCCUCCUUCCUUACCUCCCCACCUUGCAGGUAACGUCCCGGGAGCCCCCAACAGCCUCCCUUGCUCAUCCACCUCAGAGGGCUGUGAUCUCCACAGGCUUCCUCUCAGGGGACCCAGAACUACUCAGGAAAUUGGUUGGGUCCUAUGCUCCUUCAUGGUCUGCCACAGCUGAGAUCCUGGAGUACAUCGUCCUAUCCGUCUCUGCCCAGAGGGAUCCUUCUUGUGUACACAGAGUGAGCUGGGUGGUGAGCACGAAUGACAUGGGGAUCUGCCUCAGAUACACACUCGUGACCUCAACCGAAAUGGUAAUGUAGACACACACAUGGUCCUGCAUAGUUUCCACUUGCCUCCAGCUGCAGAGUUGGUAAGCUGACUAUUUAAUCAUUAGUGUCAUGUUGUAUUGGUACAAUCGCUGUGCUAUCAGCAGCUGUAAUGCUCUAAGGACGUAAGUAGAGCAAGUUCAGCAAAGACAAUAUUUUUUAUUAGAUCAGCUGAUAUAGCUGAAAGAAAAGCAGACAAGAUUUUUAUUCCCCAUGGGAGACUCUUGGAUGUGAAAUAGAGGUCUUCUGUUUCCAGCAGGAUCGUCAAUGUGCUUCCUUAAGUUAGAGGUCCUGGAGGUGGGUGGGUAAGUGAAAAUAGCUAAAAAAUUAGAUAAAAUGUGGAACAAAUGCCUGUGGAAGUGUGGAACAUUUCCUUCAUAAAACCAGGACUGACAUCUCUUUCCCUACAAUGUGAUGCUCACGUGCUAGUACCAAUCAGAUGUGUGGUGCAGGAAACCACCAGGUGCAACAUAAGGCACAUAAUGUCAAGGUGCCAAGAGCAGAAAAAAACUCUGUCUGUCUCAAGAGAAAGACCAUAGUUUAAUGUUACUAACUCCUGAACACAUCAGUAAAAAGGAGAAUCUGAGUUUUCAAACCUGGUAAGAUUCUACCAUUAAUUAAAAUUACUGUGCUAAAUUUCUACUGGCAAAAAUGCAGAGGUCUAUAUUGUACACACAAAAAAGCUAUUUUCUACAGGGUGUGUGGAAUCAUUGCUCAAUAACAACGAGAAGAUCUCAUUCCUUGUUUGUUGGAGUAGCUGUGGUGAGCUGCAGUACCAGGACCAUCAAACAUUAUGAAAGGUAUCCAAAUAAGCAGCACAAAAGCUUUACUACAGGCACUUCCUAGGCUGACUGAAGAAUUAACAACUAAUUCACAUGAUAAAGUUUUUCCCCUUAAUUGUUUGAAAGCUGUCCAAAAAUAUGGAAAUUUAUUUUAUUUUAUUUUAUUUUAUUUGUUUUGUUUUUAAUUUUUUUGGCUUGGCUUAUUAAUCUACUUGCUACUUCCAGUUCUUCAAUGAAUAUUUCAUGCAAGCCAGCUCCAACUUGGGUAACUUUUGGAAUGAUCUGCUGUGAGUACUCCUUCAAGCAUUCAUUAUUCGUCAUUCAAUAUUGAAAGUGGUUGAUUUGACACCUGGGUCAAAUGGAGGCCUUAAAGAAGCCACAGACCUCUCUUUUCUGGAUGCCAGUCAUGAAAAACGUCCCCACUCCUGGGUUUGUGGCUGUAGGGGUCCAGCAGAUGCUGUUAGGCUGACACAGCUAAGAAUACUCUGCACUUAAAAUAAACACAAAGCCAUCUAUUUUAGCGUGAAGAAA